rnacentral:rRNA from 1 species
UACAGAGGGGGCAAGCGUUGUUCGGAAUCACUGGGCUUAAAGGGCGCGUAGGCGGGCCGCCAGGUCCGGGGUGAAAGCCUCCAGCUCAACUGGAGAAGUGCCUUGGAUACCGGCGGCCUCGAGGGAGGCAGGGGCGUGCGGAACUUCGGGUGGAGCGGUGAAAUGCGUAGAUAUCCGAAGGAACACCGGUGGCGAAAGCGGCGCGCUGGACCUCUUCUGACGCUGAGGCGCGAAAGCCAGGGGAGCAAACGGG